GAUGAACGCUAGCGAUAGGCUUAACACAUGCAAGUCGAGGGGUAACGUGUUGGAAGCUUGCUUCCGAUGACGACGACCGGCGGAUGGGUGCGUAACGCGUAUGCAACUUGCCUCACAGUGGAGAAUAACCCGGAGAAAUCCGGACUAAUACUCCAUACACUCUUAAGUACGCCUGUACAUGAGAGGAAAGAUUUAUCGCUGUGCGAUAGGCAUGCGUCCUAUUAGGUAGUUGGUGAGGUAACGGCUCACCAAGCCGACGAUAGGUAGGGGUGCUGAGAGGCAGAUCCCCCACAUUGGGACUGAGACACGGCCCAAACGCCUACGGGAGGCAGCAGUGAGGAAUAUUGGUCAAUGGAGGAAACUCUGAACCAGCCAAGUCGCGUGAAAGAAGAAUGUCCUAAGGAUUGUAAACUUCUUUAGCGAGCGAGUAAGGACUUCCACGUGAUGGGAGUGUGAAAGUAGCUCGAGAAUAAGUAUCGGCUAACUCCGUG
rnacentral:rRNA from 1 species